rnacentral:misc_RNA from 1 species
UAGUAAUCGCGGAUCAGCAUGCCGCGGUGAAUACGUUCCCGGGCCUUGUACACACCGCCCGUCACACCAUGGGAGUGGGUUGCAAAAGAAGUGGGUAGCUUAACCUUCGGGAGGGCGCUCACCACUUUGUGAUUCAUGACUGGGGUGAAGUCGUAACAAGGUAGCCCUAGGGGAACCUGGGGCUGGAUCACCUCCUUUAAAUAAGUUAUCCGAUUUUCGGAGCAUCCUCACAAGUUAUCUGUCCACAUGUUAAGCAGAUACAGACCUGUUGCUUAAUACAAGCAGCUGUUCUGCGGUAGAGACUCGGGUCUGUAGCUCAGUUGGUUAGAGCGCACCCCUGAUAAGGGUGAGGUCGGAGGUUCAAAUCCUCCCAGACCCACCAAUUUCCGCCAUCCGCCAUUGAUCAUGACACUCAUGUUUGGCAAGAUGCGAAAUAGUUAUUGGGGCCAUAGCUCAGCUGGGAGAGCGCCUGCCUUGCACGCAGGAGGUCGGGAGUUCGAUCCUCCCUGGCUCCACCAAUUUCGAGUGUCAAGUGGCUAGCGAGAAACGCUAGCCACUUUGCAUUUAUGUAAAGUCUGCUCUUUAAAAAUUAGGUUAGAUCGCAGAUAGGCGAUAUCGAAAGAUAUCGAAUAUCUAUAAUAUGUAGUAUCUCAAGUUGUGAAACUUAAGAUUGGGUAUGUUGUACUCAAAUCAGCAUUGAU